rnacentral:rRNA from 1 species
AACGAACGCUGGCGGCAGGCCUAACACAUGCAAGUCGAGCGGGGACUUCGGUCCUAGCGGCGGACGGGUUAGUAACGCGUGGGAAUAUGCCCAAAGGUACGGAAUAGCCUCUGGAAACGGAGAGUAAUACCGUAUGUGCCCUUCGGGGGAAAGAUUUAUCGCCUUUGGAUUAGCCCGCGUUGGAUUAGGUAGUUGGUGGGGUAACGGCCUACCAAGCCUACGAUCCAUAGCUGGUUUGAGAGGAUGAUCAGCAACACUGGGACUGAGACACGGCCCAGACUCCUACGGGAGGCAGCAGUGGGGAAUCUUCGGCAAUGGGCGCAAGCCUGACCGAGCCAUGCCGCGUGAGCGAUGAAGGCCUUAGGGUUGUAAAGCUCUUUCGCCAGGGAUGAUAAUGACAGUACCUGGUAAAGAAACCCCGGCUAACUCCGUGCCAGCCGCCGCCGUAACAC